rnacentral:lncRNA from 10 species
AUAGCAAUCAGUGUAUGAAGAAAGAUUAACAGAUGUUCGAAAGUUCUGGAGAAGAGCUUAGUUGGAAUUUUGGAUUUCUAUUAACCUCAUAGUGGAAGUGUAUUAAGGCCAAAACUCCGCACCAGACUUCAAUGCCUGCUUGGUUUCCUAGAAUAUCUUCUCCAUAAGACAUGAGAUUCAAGCCUGGGAUAUUGUAGUGAAGAAGAGAGAAAGAGAAUGGCAACACCUGAGUUCCAGGAGUCAGCCUGCUAGUAGUAACAGCUAAGUCUUGGUGUUGCUAUGGGGUGGUCUGGCUCUUCAACUAGGCUUUGAUAUUCUUCUAUUGGACAUAAACAAUCUCAGAAAACGUUAAUAUCAGACAAGGCUAUUCUGUCACCAUGAUAGACCAAGACUAAGGCAAGACCACUUCAUAAUAAUUCCUGUACAAAGGCAAAAUAUGAACAUUGUCCACAUCAAAUAAGUGACUAAACAUUUCUUUAAACCAGUUAAUACGAGUGAAUGCUAUUUCCUUAUGAAACAGUGUUAGACUUGCUCUCAUCUAUCUCCCUUCUAGAUUAAACUCAGUCAUAGAAUUGUCUAAACUUUAUGAUAGCAUCCAAUCCAGAGUAAGCCCACUUCUUUCAAUCCUCCCGAAAAUCACUAAAGCAAAGUUCAGAUAGAGUAAGUCAUUUCUAAAACCCAUUUACAGAGAUGCUCCACAAUUCCCCAUGAUGUGCAUUGUCCUUUGCUACGAUGGGAAAUUAACUCAACUUGUUCAAAUACAGGUGUGUUCUUUUUUCUCCUUAGUAGAGGGCAUUGAAUACAAGAGAGAGAGAAGAGAACACAAAGCAGUUUCAGAAAAACACCCAAAAUAAAUCACAAGAAGUAUACCCAAAAUACUUGAAACUUUUCUUGUGUUCCACCAAAAUCUCUAAAUCCCAGAGUAUAUCCUUGAAUUUCAAUUCCAUCAUGUUAGAAUUUAUUUUCAAAGAUGGAGGAUAGAGUAAAUGGUCAAUGCUUCUCUGGUGCAGAGAGGGGUCUUCUUAAAUAUACCCCUAACUUUAUGUCCCAUUGAAAAAAGUAAUAAAAGUAAAUUAAUUAAGAGAAUAUUGACCUCUGAAAAAAUUGCUUGCUCCUUCUUACAGAUAUUUAUGUCAGAGCACAGGGAAUAGUAUUUUAUCACCUUCCUGACUUUUUAUUCCCAUUGCAUAAAUCUGUCAGUGAGCAAGCUCUAUCCCCAGCUGGGCUGGUCUAGCUACAAAAUAAGACAGGCAGAUACCAAUGCAAAACUGUGGUUUAUUUUUGAAAAACUUUUACCUCUGCUUUCAUUUUGGCUUUUAAUAAGUUUGACAAUUCUCAGCAUUUUUUUUUUUUGCUUUUUUGUCCAAAUUUCCUGCCUGAUGGGGAAGUCUGAGGAUGAUUAAUGUUCAAGAAAGUUGUGAGGAAAUGUGCCACCCAAGUUUAAUGCAUUAUUAUUUUACUAAAUCACAAUUUUCUUGGUGUCCAUAUCAGUAGCCUAACCUUAUGCAGUAAUAACUGAUUCAGACUUCAUUUAUAAAACGGAAGGGAAAAAUGCAAGAAUAAAAAGGAAGAGAAUUCACAGCAGAGCAAAGAGAAAUUACUGCCAUAUGAACUCUAACACUGUAGCAUUCUUUCACGGUCUGGUACUUUUUAAUCUUGAGUCAUAGAUGGAAAAAUAAAGGAAAAAAAUUGAGGCACAACCAUUCUACAGUAGGCAAGGCAAUUGAGAUUGCUUGGAUUCAUUACUCUGAACUCCAGCAAACAGCUACAGAAUGCCUAGAAUUCCCCAGACAUGACUAUUACAGCUCUCUGUGGUGGCUCAACAGACUUCGUUUUCAGAUAGGUUAUUUGGAGCACCAAUUUUCUUUCUAAAAAUCUUUGUUUUGGCCUUGAUUUGGAAAUAACCUAUGACCGUAGUAUUUAUUUUUCUGCUUAAGAAUUCAUAGAGAAUUUUGGUUUGGGCAGCAUGACAACUUUUACUUAAUAAAAAUAUGAGAAAAAUAUAUAGUUAUAUAGGCUGAUUCCUUUUCACAAUAACUCUACUGAGCUCAUAUAAUUCAAUCUAGUUUAUUUGUUUUUGUUUUCAUUUUUCUUUAUGUCUCUGACUGAGGCCCAGUGGGCACACUCAAUUUGGAAGGGUUUUAGAAAACAUGGCUGAAAAAUGAUGAAUUACGUAUGUAUUAAAUUGAUGUUCACAAUUUCCUGUAAGUAUAAUCUCUUUUCAUGAAAGUGAUGACUCUUUCAUAAUAGCUGAACUUUAUAAACACACGCACACACAAACUAAAUUAAAUUAAAUUAAAUAUGUCCAGGUAAUAUUUCUAAAUAUAUAUAGAAAGUUAAUCUAAAUUCUAAAUACCUUGUUGAUGUAUGCAGUAUUUUAAAGUCAUUUGGGGGAUAACAAUUCUGGCAUUGUCCUAUAGCAACAAUAAAGAGAGGCAGUUUAAAAACAGCAAUGUAAAGAAGGAUUUCAAGCCAACAUUAAUGGUGUGAUUUAGUCAAGCCCUUUUUAUUGUGGAAUUUUAUAAACCAUUCAAAAUUAUACUUAUAGCUAACAUUUCAAUAUAUUAAAAAUGCUCACAAUAAAAAUUAAUUUCUAAAAAGGCAAAUGAAUGGAGGAUGCAUAUGCAAUAUGUCCUUAACUAUAAAUAUGUUGAAAGAUGAGAGAUCAUGUGGCUGAUAGGCCAGUUGAUACAUAAUAAAAAGAAUAAAUAUAAAGAGACAAAGAGAGAAAAAAAGGAAUAAGAAAGGAAGAACAUAAAGGAAGAAGGAAGAGAGGGAGAGAGGAAGAAAGCAAUAGACGGAGGAAAGGAAAAGGUAGGAGGAAAAAAGACAAAGCUAGCAGGAAACCAAUAUAUAUAUAAUAAAUAUUAAUGUUAAGAAUAUAUUAAUUAAUGGAAGUGUUAAUGAUCUGUGAGUGGUCUGCCCAGAUGUGAUUCUUACUAUACUAUUACAUAGCCCAAAUUUUCUUAAUUGGACAUACAUUUUCUGUAGCCAGAAAAUUAAAAUAUUAAUUUCAGAAAAAAAUUGUUAUUUCUAUCCUCUAAAUGCAUGCCCCAAUGAAUAAUAGUCAAAUAUUAAAAUUACACACACAAAAGUUGUGAAAUAGAAGACUAUAUAUAUUUUUUCAUUAACAUAAACAGAAAAAUUCCUACUAGCUCUUCACAUCAGGAUUUGUAUGACCCAUUAACGUGUUCAAAUGCAACAUUGCUCAUUAAAGGAAGAGUUCUUACAACUCAAUUCAAGGUAAUUAUUAUUUUUAUUUUCUUUGUACUAAUGUCAUUUUGAAUAAAAUAUAUUCAUCAUUAAAACUUUUAUGAGCUCCUACAAGUGCAAAAGAAAAGAAUUUUGAUUGAUGUUUCUGACUGUUGAAUGUUAACCUCUAUCCUAAAGAUUGCUCACACAUAAUGGAAAAGUUAAUUCCCACUACAGUGGUAAUAUUCAUUGUACAGAUGAGGGGACAAACAUUAUGGUAUACACUAACUUCUAGCCUGACAUGGUAUUUCCAUUAAUCUGAAUCUAUCAUUAGUCUUUACUUUGGAACCUAAGCAAAACUGCAUCAACACUUACAGGUGGAUCAUAAAGACAAUUGUGAAAAUCAGUACCUGGAUUUUCAAAAAUGUUUAAUUGAUACUUUCAAUAUUCUUUUUUGAGAUAUUUUUCCUCUUCCAGGCAAUAAGGCCCCAGCAACUGACCUCACAGGAAUAGUCCCUUGCUUCCUAGCUUGGCAGCACCCCACACUGUUGGUCUUGCAACAGGUAUGCAGAUACACACAAAAUGAAAAAAAAGCACAAGACAGAGUGAAUGGAUGUAUUUAGGUCCUGGUUACUUGACUAUAAUUUGUGAGAUAAAGUAUUUCUAAAGAGUAUUUUCCACAAUUCAUCCAAGUCUCUGUUUCAGCAUCCUAAUUCAAUAUUUGUACUUAUUAACCUACAGACUUGGAUAACAAAAAACUCAUUUAAAAAUAGAAAAGUAGCUCAUAAUUUUAAAGAAUAUAGAGAAGGCACAAUGAAAAUGAAAAUAUAUAAUAUCUUCACUAGCCAGGGAUAACUGUUAUUCCUCCAGCCAGAGAUAACUUUUAUUAUAUUUUUAGAUAAUUAUACAUCCUUACAAUUUUCUAUGUCUUAGUUUUAUAUAAAUAUGUGUUUUAUAUCACAAAAGUUUAAAUCUUUAAUAUUUAAAGAGGUUUAAAACACUGGUGUUUUCUGCAAACAAAUUAUGUCAUAAAAUAAUUUUCAUAGUAAAAUGCAUGCUAUUUUAAUUAACUUUGUAAUGUUACCUUAGAUGUAUAAAAAUGUAUUUAAACAAAUCCCUUCUUAUUUAAAUUUAGCUUACUCUUGGAUUUUCCAGUUUAUUUACCACAUACUUAUUAAUAUGUACUAUAGUUAUUUAAUAAUGUAUUUACUAUUAUAAUUAGCAUUGACACUGAGACAUGUUUUUUCACAAAUAUUUAGUGUUUUACAGUUCAAUUUUUAUAACAUAUAAUUAGUGAAUUGUACGAUGUAGAUAUUGAAUUUUUGAAAUUAUUUUGUAUGAAUAGUUUUACAUAUUUAUGAUACUAAUCUCAUGUUUUAAAUUUGUUGCAAAUGGUUUUCCUGAUGUUUGUCUCCUCUUAAAGACUAUGGUCUUUCUUCAUAUAGACUUUAAAAAAAAUGUUAUGUACUCAACUGACUUCUUUAUUAAAUAUAUUGUUUCCUAGCUUAUGAUUAUAUAGAUAUUUACCUAUAUGGACUUCUGAUGAUAUAUAUAUAUAUUUACAUAUUAUGAUAUAUUGAAUAUUUAAUACAGCUGAGUUUUGCUUUGGCAUUAAGUAUAGGAUUAACCUCUAUCCUUUACCCACUAAAAAGAAAUGUUAUCUUUAUAUUAUAUGUUUCAAUAUAAAUUCCUAAAUUUAAACUUAAUGUGAUUAUUCUAUAUAUAUAACUUGACAGUAGUGUCCAUUUAUUUGAUUAAAAUAAAAUUUUAACCUCAUUUAUUACAUAAUAAAUUAAGACUUUCCAUCACAUUUUCUUACACAAAUCUUUAUAUUUCUAGAUAAACUUAAAAAUCAUUAUUUUCCAAUUCUAAAAAUCUAAUAAAAUGUUCAUUAUAAAUCUAACAAAUAGGCUAACAUUAGAAGUAAUGCAUCUUUGAAAAUAUUAAUGCAAGCUAUCCCAUUGCAUGUAUUUAAAUUAUCUUGUUUAAUAGUUAGAUUCCUGUUCUCUUUACAUAGAGCAUAUUUAGAUGUGAUUAAGUUUCGUAUGAUUUUGAGCAACGUUUUCUAAAGAGAUUUUUUCAUCAUCUUAUAUAUGUCUUGUUUUGGAAAGUUGCAUUAAAUUUGCAACUGGCUAAUUUAUUUUCUUUUUUGAGCUGAUUAGGCAAUUGUAUUAACAUUGAAAUGUUUUUCCUGUUUUUGAUUUUUUAAAUUAUUUUGUUUUCUUGUGUUAUUGAUUUAGAAUGAGAGCUCACGUCUUGUCUUGUUCUUGAUUUUUAAUACAAAUGAUUUGAUCAAUGGAAGAUAUAAACAUUAACCAUGACUACUGCUUUUGGCUUGAUAUAAGUUUUAUUUUAUUAUGUUGGAGAAAUAGUCUGUUCUGGUUUUAUUGUUUUGCCAGGAAUGAAUGUAGAAUUUGAUCAAAUCUAUCUUUAGCUUAUUUCAAUAUAAUUUGCAGCUAAUGAAUUCUCUAAUUGGAUCAUCCUUGAAUUUUAGGGAUAAAUACUAGUUCUUCCUGUUAUAUUUAUUUUUUUGCAUGCUACUUAAUUUAAUUCAAAAUAUACAGAGUUAAUAUGCUUUUAUUUUAAUGCCAUCCUCUGCAAGUUAGUAAGAAAUAUGCUGAGUUCAAAAAUGCAAUGGCAAAUCCUUUUGGCUGAUCCAUGUGCUGAAGCAAUUCUAAUCAUGUAAACUUAAUCUACUGCCUAAAAAUUCUACAGAAAUCUCUUAUAAAACAGUUUUAACUCAGUAUCAUUAUAGGUGUAUUGGAAGAUGGUUUGCUGUUGUGUUGGUUGUUUUUCUCAUAUAGUUAGUGAAAUACUUAAAUUGUAUUUCUCUAAUUAAUUCGGCUUUGAUCAAUUGUAUUUUCUCACAAUAUCGUAUAAUUUCCUAUGAGUUUUAAUAUGUAUUAUUAUUUGAUAUAAUCUCCUAUUGUUUGUAAAAUAUAUUUGAUCUAUACAGUUAUAUCAUAUUAAUAAUUCACACUGGCAAUUGUUUGUGAUUAUAUUUUAAUUUAUUCUUGAUUACUUUGUAAGAAAUAUCUCUAAUAUUUUCAGUGUUUAAAAGACUUGCUUUCCAGAUU